AUCGCUUCUCGGCCUUUUGGCUAAGAUCACAUGUAGUAUUUGUGUGUGCAUGCUUCAGUAGUUCCUGCAUUUACUAUUCUCUUGUACCAGAUUAUUUUAUGACACCUAUACCAUGUUAGUGGCUGAUUAACCUCUCUUUCCUUCUUGAGUCUUCAUAAGAUUUGGGGAGAUUAUUA
ensembl:snRNA U2 U2 spliceosomal RNA